UUAAUUUUAAUCAUGGCUUCAAUCUAGGAUGUGCUAUAUGAUGAGGAGUUUGAAGAACAAGUACCAUUGGAAAGCAAUAGAGAAGAAUGAUGCCUAGGAGGGCAGGCUGGCUGUCCAGUCUGCAACCCAACAUGGUUUUCAACUUGUUAAGUUUAUCUUCAUCCAUGAUCUGAAUCUCAGUGAAUCAGUCUCAAAAUUCAAUCUAUUAAACACAGUAAGAAUGAAACCUUAUACUAAGAGGAGAUCCACAUUAAAUAAGUUCACAGGGGCUGAUGUAUCUGAUCAGAAUACUGAUUUAUUAAUCUCCUGAGAGAAAUUCAGUUACUACAAAGACCAGGAACACUUGAGUCAGACAGAUUGGCAUAUUUUCUCCCUUAAAGGCAGCCUCUAUGGACCUGAGAGCGACCUCCAGGAGCUGAGAGCAGUCCUCAACUCUUGUUAGAGUUGGUAGCAAGAAAACAGGACUUCAGUCCUAUAGCUGCAAGGGAGUGAAUUCCGCCAAUCACAGGAAUGAGCUUGGAAAAAGACCCUGAACUCCAGAUGAGAAUGUUGCCAGCCCACCUUGAUUUCAGCCUGAAUAGAGAACUCAGCCUUGCUGUCCCGGAUUUCUGACCUACAGAACUCUCCUGAACGUGAUAGUCCUUGGAAACAGCAGAUGUCUAGUGAUGAACUUCAGCAGAAUUUGGGCCUCAGACUCUAAUUUAUUAAUAAUACUUAAGUCUCUGCAUCUCUCCAGGACGCCUGCCACAGCAUAGCUUUUGCCAAGCAGUGCCAUCU